UACGACGGGGGCUAGCGUUGUUCGGAUUUACUGGGCGUAAAGCGCACGUAGGCGGGUCGUUAAGUCAGGGGUGAAAUCCCGGAGCUCAACUCCGGAACUGCCUUUGAUACUGGCGACCUUGAGGCUGGAAGAGGUUAGUGGAAUUCCCAGUGUAGAGGUGAAAUUCGUAGAUAUUGGGAAGAACACCAGUGGCGAAGGCGGCUAACUGGUCCAGAUCUGACGCUGAGGUGCGAAAGCGUGGGGAGCAAACAGG
rnacentral:rRNA from 1 species